GACGAACGCUGGCGGCGUGCUUAACACAUGCAAGUGGUGCGACGAACCAGGCUUCGGCCUGGGGCAGAGCCGCGAACGGGUGAGUAACACGUGGGCAACCUGCCCUGUUGAUCGGGACAACCCGGGGAAACCCGGGCUAAUACCGAAGGUGGUGCCGGCUCAUGAGAGCCCCCACGGAAGGAAGCCUCGGCCUCCGCGACAGGAUGGGCCCGCGGCCCAUUAGCUUGUUGGUGGGGUAAUGGCCUACCAAGGCAACGAUGGGUAGCUGGUCUGAGAGGACGAUCAGCCACACUGGGACUGAGACACGGCCCAGACUCCUACGGGAGGCUGCAGUGGGGAAUCUUGCGCAAUGAGCGACAGCUUGACGCAGCAACGCCGCGUGGGGGAAGAAGGCUUUCGGGUCGUAAACCCCUUUCAGUUAGGACGAAGCUUUAUUGGUUAAUAACCAAUUGGAGUGACGGUACUUUCAGAAGAAGCCCCGGCUAACUACGUGCCAGCCGCCGCCGUAA
rnacentral:rRNA from 1 species